rnacentral:rRNA from 1 species
GAUGAACGCUUGCGGCAGGCUUAAUACAUGCAAGUCGGACGGUAACAGGGUCUUCGGACUGCUGACGAGUGGCGGAUGGGUGAGUAACGCGUAUGCAACCUUCCUCACACCGAGAAAAAGUCGACUGAAAAGUUGAAUAAAGUCUCGUGGUGUGCAUUUCUCGCAUGAGAGAUGUAUGAUAGAAGCAAUUUGGUGUGAGAUGGGCAUGCGUAUCAUUAGCUAGUUGGUAAGGUAACGGCUUACCAAGGCGACGAUGAUUAGGGGGCCUGAGAGGGUGGUCCCCCACACUGGGACUGAGACACGGCCCAGACUCCUACGGGAGGCAGCAGUAGGGAAUAUUGGUCAAUGGGCGGAAGCCUGAACCAGCCAUGCCGCGUGAUGGAUGACGGCCUUAGGGUUGUAAACAUCUUUUCUGCUAGAGGAAUAGAGUUCACGUGUGGACAGACGACUGUAUAGCAGGAAUAAGGAUCGGCUAACUCCGUGCCAGCAGCCGCGGUAAUACGGAGGAUUCGAGCGUUAUCCGGAUUUACUGGGUUUAAAGGGUGCGCAGGCGGGCUCUUAAGUCAGCGGUGAAAUGUCUGGGCUUACCCUAGGAAUUGCCGUUGAUACUGGGAGUCUUGGAUAAGCAUAAGGACGGCGGAAUGCGUAGUGUAGCGGUGAAAUGCUUAGAUAUUACGUAGAAGACCAAUUGCGAAGGCAGCUGUCUGGGUCUUUAUCGACGCUCAAGCACGAAAGCGUGGGGAGCAAACAGG